CGACCCUCGCUGGGUGGGGCGGCCGCCGCAGCGGGGAUUAGCACCCGGAUUUCCUGCUAUCCGGGCUGAUGUUCUCUUCUCCCACUGAUUUACUCUAGGAUUGGAUGGUGAGAAAAGGAGAGAUUCCUGUGAGAAGAGAGCAGGAUGAUCAGAAGGAUCCAUACUUGAAGUUGGGUCGCUUGAAAAUGAUCUCUUUGAGUGUGGAAGAGAUCUGAACAGAUGAAAAUACAAUCAGGAAAAUGCAACAUGGCAGCAGCAAUGGAGACAGAGCAGCUGGGUGUUGAAAUAUUUGAAACUGCAGAGUGUGAGGAGAAUAUUGAAUCACAGGAUCGGCCCAAAUUGGAGCCAUUUUAUGUUGAGCGAUAUUCUUGGAGUCAGCUUAAAAAGUUGCUUGCCGAUACCAGAAAAUACCAUGGCUACAUGAUGGCCAAGGCACCGCAUGAUUUUAUGUUUGUGAAGAGGAAUGAUCCAGAUGGGCCUCAUUCAGACAGGAUCUAUUA